rnacentral:rRNA from 1 species
UGGGGAAUUUUGGACAAUGGGGGCAACCCUGAUCCAGCAAUGCCGCGUGUGUGAAGAAGGCCUUCGGGUUGUAAAGCACUUUUGUCCGGAAAGAAAACGCCGUGGUUAAUACCCGUGGCGGAUGACGGUACCGGAAGAAUAAGCACCGGCUAACUACGUGCCAGCAGCCGCGGUAAUACGUAGGGUGCAAGCGUUAAUCGGAAUUACUGGGCGUAAAGCGUGCGCAGGCGGUCCGCUAAGACAGAUGUGAAAUCCCCGGGCUUAACCUGGGAACUGCAUUUGUGACUGGCGGGCUAGAGUAUGGCAGAGGGGGGUAGAAUUCCACGUGUAGCAGUGAAAUGCGUAGAGAUGUGGAGGAAUACCGAUGGCGAAGGCAGCCCCCUGGGCCAAUACUGACGCUCAUGCACGAAAGCGUGGGGGAGCAAACAGGAUUAGAUACCCUGGUAGUCCACGCCCUAAACGAUGUCAACUAGUUGUCGGGUCCUCAUUGACUUGGUAACGUAGCUAACGCGUGAAGUUGACCGCCUGGGGAGUACGGUCGCAAGAUUAAAACU